rnacentral:rRNA from 1 species
AUGUCUGUGGUUAGGUUACAAGGCGGCAGUCCAGAGCAUUUGGGCAGUGGUUUCGUUGCUUACUGCAACGGAUGUUCAUGUCUAGUAAUGACAUCUUACCAUGUUGUUAAAUCAGCCUUCAUUAAUGGUCUUAUGAUUACGGUUAUCUUUCCUGGUGGACAACCGCGCUUUCAAGCCGAUGUACAAAAUUUAUCCGAGCCUGGGGAUCUUGCUAUACUUCAGUUUGAUUGUGAGGGCUAUAUGUUUGAACCUCUGCUGUUCGCUGAAAUAUCUACCAAUCCUGAUUUAUUUCCAUGGACGGUUUAUUUGCAUGGAUAUUACAAUGGUAAACGUGGACAACUUAUCAGACCUUCGACAUUACCUGGCCAAAUUGACGGUAUGUACGUAAAUCAAGAAACUGGUGUUCAUAUGCUUUAUGCAAAUUACACCAGUAACCCUGGAAUGUCUGGUGGACCAAUUAUUAUGGGAGGUAGAGUCUUGGAGUCAACAAAGGGGCUGAGGCAGGAACGAGACUUGCUGUUUCAGUCCUGGGUGUACACCAUGCUAGAGGAUUGGACUGGCGGAGCAGAAACAAUUGCUGAGAUGCUUGAAAUGCUUGAAGAGCUUGACUAUUAA